GUUGCGGUAGAUUCGUUCCUCGUGCAGUGCUCAUGGAUUUGGAGCCUGGGACUAUGGAUAGUCUCAGAUCUGGACCGUACGGUCAGACCUUUCGACCUGAUAACUUCGUCUUUGGCCAAUCCGGUGCUGGUAACAACUGGGCCAAGGGACACUACACGGAAGGAGCUGAACUAAUCGAUUCCGUUCUCGAUGUUGUUCGUAAGGAAGCUGAGAACUGUGACUGUCUCCAAGGUUAUUCUUCUUCUUCUUAUAGAUCUGUUUGAUUUUAGUGUUGAUAAUGCUUUACUAGUGUUUUGAACUGUGAGAUUUCCUUGUGUAGGGUUCCAGGUUUGUCACUCGUUGGGAGGAGGAACUGGAUCUGGUAUGGGAACAUUGUUGAUCUCUAAGAUCCGUGAAGAGUACCCAGAUCGCAUGAUGCUUACCUUCUCGGUGUUCCCUUCACCAAAGGUUUCUGAUACUGUGGUUGAGCCUUACAACGCUACUCUGUCUGUCCAUCAGCUUGUUGAGAAUGCUGAUGAGUGCAUGGUUCUUGAUAAUGAGGCCUUGUACGAUAUUUGCUUCAGGACUCUCAAACUCACUACCCCCAGCUGUAAGAUUUCAUUUCCCAAUUAUGCUCUCCACCAAUGUUAAGAUGAGUUAAACUAUGCUUGAAAUGCUUGGUCUACAUGGUGUUUAUGUUAAUAAUUGGUAUCAAGUUCAGAUCUGCAAGCAUCUAUGUAAAGCUUAUAGUAUUGUUACUGUUUCCAUUGGUUUGCUCUUUGACUAUGUCACUGUUUUAUAUCAGAAUUCUGAUUUGCAAGUCUCUGUGCAGAACUUAUACUUUUGUUACUGUUUCCAGUCGUUUUGUACAUAUCUUUAGCCUCUUGUUUUGUGUGAUAUUGCUUCUGUUUACCUAUUUUGAUCUCAUCACCGAAGUAGGUCCUUAAACUACUCUUAUUGGAACAAUACUUUCUGGUUAAGUUGCAAGUAGAAAUCUGAUACUUGAUGAUCAUCAGUUUGUUGAGUUUACUGUCUGCUUUGAUUCUUUUCUCAUCGUACUGUUUGGAUAUGUCUAAAGCUUACACAUACUUGGAUUUUCUUCUGUGUGCAGUUGGUGAUUUGAACCACUUGAUUUCUGCUACUAUGUCUGGUGUGACUUGCUGUCUGAGGUUCCCUGGUCAACUCAACUCUGACCUCCGAAAGCUUGCUGUGAAUCUCAUCCCAUUCCCCCGUCUUCACUUCUUCAUGGUGGGUUUUGCUCCUCUCACCUCAAGAGGUUCUCAGCAGUACCGUUCCCUCACAGUCCCUGAGCUCACCCAGCAAAUGUGGGACUCCAAGAACAUGAUGUGUGCUGCAGACCCAAGGCACGGACGCUACCUCACAGCCUCUGCCAUGUUCCGUGGCAAGAUGAGCACAAAGGAAGUUGACGAGCAGAUGCUGAAUGUGCAGAACAAGAACUCGUCCUACUUUGUGGAGUGGAUCCCCAACAACGUGAAAUCGACAGUCUGUGACAUCCCACCUACUGGUCUGAAGAUGGCAUCAACUUUCAUUGGAAACUCAACAUCAAUCCAAGAGAUGUUCAGGCGAGUGAGUGAGCAGUUCACAGCUAUGUUCAGGAGAAAGGCUUUCUUGCAUUGGUACACAGGUGAGGGAAUGGACGAGAUGGAAUUCACAGAAGCGGAGAGCAACAUGAACGAUCUUGUGUCAGAGUACCAGCAAUACCAAGAUGCAACUGCGGAUGAAGAAGGUGACUACGAGGAUGAGGAAGAAGGUGAAUAUCAACAGGAGGAAGAGUACUGAGAAUAAUUUAGUUAUAACUGCUUUAAAAACAAAAACAAUUUAGUCGUUUGCUACUUUUCUUUUUUUUAAAAGGAACACCUCAACUACCAGUUGUAGUUUUUUUCUCUGCUUGUAUUUGACAUAUCUGGUUGAUGUUUCUGUACUUUUGUUCUUAAUCUUGUUAUUGCCUGUGAUGUUUCUAUUAAUAUUUUCCAGUUGUACUGUCUUCAAUCUUUGGUCUUCUAUCCUCAUCUUUCUGCUACCUGACUACCUCAGUACCUACUUAAGGACUUUAGGUUUGAUCUGUUUGGAAAAUAGAUUAAGGUUCGGGAUUUGUGACCUCAGGGCAAGUGCAGCUCCAUAUUAGACCCCAAAACAAAUUUAUCACUGUUCUGAAAUACAAAUUCCCCAACAUGCCUAGCUUUGAGGAUUGAUUGUUUCUAAGCUAUUUAUUUUCUUUACCAAUUCACAUAAAUACUUUAGGAUAAAGUGGAAAUUGUCAAUAUUCAAACACGUUCUCUUCCCUUUGUUAACAAGCAAAAUAUGAAAAUAACAUGUGCUCUUCCAUUAUUUCAUUUUUUGCAACCCUUAUGAAUGGGCCCAAAGCCUGCCACAAACAUGUGCACAAUAUUAGAAAAGAAACUCUAAAAACAAAAACAAAAUGAACAUUCUUUUUUUUGCAAUUUGUAUUAUAAUAUCAAAAUAAUAUUUUAAAACUCAAUUUAAUAUUGGAAAAUAAAAUAAAAUUUGGAAACUAAACAGUUACCAUAGAGAAAGAAACGGACCAUUUUUAAAUUUUGAAUUUCGAGAAAAACAAAAUCGGCGCCUCUUAUUAGAGAUAAUUGGGGGAAAAAAACAAAAAACAAACACAGAGAGAGCAAUAAUAAAAACUCACUCACUCUCACUUUUUUCAUUUCUUCAACAAAAAAAACCUAAAGCUCUCUUUUCUCUCCAGAUUUCGAUUCCCGAGGCUCGAGAGAAAACCGUAAAUCUCUUCUCCGUUCACUCAAUCAACCAAAGAUGCGUGAGAUUCUUCACAUCCAGGGUGGUCAAUGCGGUAACCAGAUCGGAGCCAAGUUCUGGGAAGUGGUUUGCGCCGAGCACGGCAUCGAUCCAACCGGAAGGUACACCGGAGACUCAGAUCUGCAACUUGAGCGCAUCAACGUUUACUACAAUGAAGCGAGUUGCGGUAGAUUCGUUCCUCGUGCAGUGCUCAUGGAUUUGGAGCCUGGGACUAUGGAUAGUCUCAGAUCUGGACCGUACGGUCAGACCUUUCGACCUGAUAACUUCGUCUUUGGUCAAUCCGGUGCGGGUAACAACUGGGCCAAGGGACACUACACUGAAGGAGCUGAACUAAUCGAUUCCGUUCUCGAUGUUGUUCGUAAGGAAGCUGAGAACUGUGACUGCCUCCAAGGUUAUUCUUCUCCUUCUU
rnacentral:lncRNA from 1 species